GACGAACGCUGGCGGCGUGCUUAACACAUGCAAGUCGAACGGAAAGGCUCCAGCUUGCUGGCGUACUCGAGUGGCGAACGGGUGAGUAACACGUGGGUAAUCUGCCCUGCACUCUGGGAUAAGCCUGGGAAACUGGGUCUAAUACUGGAUAUGACCUUUCUCCUUAUGGGGUUUGGUGGAAAGUUUUUCGGUGUAGGAUGGGCCCGCGGCCUAUCAGCUUGUUGGUGGGGUGAUGGCCUACCAAGGCGACGACGGGUAGCCGGCCUGAGAGGGUGAUCGGCCACAUUGGGACUGAGAUACGGCCCAGACUCCUACGGGAGGCAGCAGUAGGGAAUAUUGCACAAUGGGCGGAAGCCUGAUGCAGCGACGCCGCGUGAGGGAUGACGGCCUUCGGGUUGUAAACCUCUUUCAGCAGGGACGAAGCGUAAGUGACGGUACCUGCAGAAGAAGCACCGGCUAACUAUGUG
rnacentral:rRNA from 1 species